rnacentral:rRNA from 1 species
GAUGAACGCUGGCGGCGUGCCUAAUACAUGCAAGUCGAGCGAACAGACGAGGAGCUUGCUCCUCUGACGUUAGCGGCGGACGGGUGAGUAACACGUGGAUAACCUACCUAUAAGACUGGGAUAACUUCGGGAAACCGGAGCUAAUACCGGAUAAUAUAUUGAACCGCAUGGUUCAAUAGUGAAAGACGGUUUUGCUGUCACUUAUAGCUGGAUCCGCGCCGCAUUAGCUAGUUGGUAAGUUAACGGCUUAUCAAGGCAACGAUGCGUAUCCGACCGGAGAGGGUGAUCGGCCACACUGGAACGGGGACACGGUCCAGACUCCUGCGGGAGGCAGCAGUAGGGAAUCUGCCGCAAUGGGCGGAAGCCUGACGGAGCAACGCCGCGUGAGUGAUGAAGGUCUUCGGAUCGUAAAAAUCUGUUAUUAGGUAAGAACAAAUGUGUAAGUAACUAUGCACGGCUUGACGGUACCGAAUCAGAAAGCCACGGCUAACUACGUG